rnacentral:rRNA from 1 species
AUUGAACGCUGGCGGCAGGCCUAACACAUGCCAGUCGAGCGGAUGAAGGGAGCUUGCUCCUGGAUUCAGCGGCGGACGGGUGAGUAAUGCCUAGGAAUCUGCCUGGUAGUGGGGGAUAACGUCCGGAAACGGGCGCUAAUACCGCAUACGUCCUGAGGGAGAAAGUGGGGGAUCUUCGGACCUCACGCUAUCAGAUGAGCCUAGGUCGGAUUAGCUAGUUGGUGGGGUAAAGGCCUACCAAGCCGACGAUCCGUAACUGGUCUGAGAGGAUGAUCAGUCACACUGGAACUGAGACACGGUCCAGACUCCUACGGGAGGCAGCAGUGGGGAAUAUUGGACAAUGGGCGAAAGCCUGAUCCAGCCAUGCCGCGUGUGUGAAGAAGGUCUUCGGAUUGUAAAGCACUUUAAGUUGGGAGGAAGGGCAGUAAGUUAAUACCUUGCUGUUUUGACGGUACCAACAGAAUAAGCACCGGCUAACUUCGUG